rnacentral:rRNA from 1 species
GGAUGAACGCUAGCGAUAGGCUUAACACAUGCAAGUCGAGGGGCAGCACGGUGUAGCAAUACACUGGUGGCGACCGGCGUACGGGUGCGUAACACGUAUGCAACCUACCCGCUAUUGGGGGGAUAACCCGGCGAAAGUCGGACUAAUACCCCAUAUUAUUCUUACCGGGCAUCCGGUAGGUCUGAAAGAUUUAUCGAUUGCGGAUGGGCAUGCGGAUGAUUAGCUAGUAGGUGGGGUAACGGCUCACCUAGGCGACGAUCAUUAGGGGUUCUGAGAGGAAGGUCCCCCCACACUGGAACUGAGACACGGUCCAGACUCCUACGGGAGGCAGCAGUGAGGAAUAUUGGUCAAUGGGCGCUAGCCUGAACCAGCCAAGUCGCGUGAAGGAUGACAGAAUCUAUGGUUUGUAAACUUCUUUUGCAGGGGAGUAAAGUGCGACACGUGUGUUGUAUUGCAAGUACCCUGCGAAUAAGCAUCGGCUAACUCCGUGCCAGCAGCUGC